CUUUAAUGUCAUUGUUACAAUAGUAUACUCAGUAUAUUCAGACCAAUUCUCUAACCCAUUUGUUUUCCAGCGUGGUUAUUUUGCCUUGUCGGAAUUCUCCACAAUUCUUGAAUUAGGGAAUGACCCUGAUAGUUUAGUGAAUGGACCUCUAGACUUGGUAAAUAGGCCGCAAAAUAGCAGAGUUCCUAAACACUAAAUUUGCUUUUUUUUCUUGAUUAAAAUCAUUCUAUAAACAAGUUCACUCUUACGGGGGGAAAAAAGCACUUUUGUAUGGGGAACAUCAGUGUUUUAAAAAAUACUUUUUAUCGAUUGCUACUGCUUGUACCUUUUUAAUUACAUAGCCUGAAAAUUGUACUUGUUACAACAAAAGCAAAUUCUUGUCAAACAAAGGGUAUUGGUACCUUCACCCGAUUUAUCAAUAUUUUGGAGAAUUGUGUUAUUAUAGUUUUAAAUGUUAUGAAGAAAUGUCAUUGGACUGCUGACUCAUCAUUUUCUAUAUGCUGUAGUUCAAUGUAAGUACCCUACAAAUUAAAAAUGAAUGUACCUGUGACACUAGUAUUUUUAACCUGCAUAUGGCAAUGUAUUUUUCCAUGUGCUAAUGCAUCUCUUGGUGUUUUUAUUUUGUUGGGUUUUAUAUUGUUUAUGUAUGUAAAAACAAGUGCAUUGUAUAUUUUU